AAAACUUCAAUUUAUUACAAGCCUCUUGUAUGCGUGUCAGUAUUACGAAUUCACAUACCAACCCAUUCUUGGGUCCUUCUAGCGAUGAAGGAGCUGCAGAGGUUAAAGACCUUGCCAAGGUCACGCAGCUAGAAAUUUGAGUCGCUCCAGAGCCCAAGCACCUGAUCCCCAAAUGUCGAUCCUGAUGGAAAGCUUUUCUGAGGAGAGAGAAUAAAAGGAAUAAAGGAGAAAAGACCAAAAAAAUGUGGAUUCUCUUUGAAGGUCCCCAGAAGCAAAUCCCCUAAUUUCUGGGUUGGGAUGGGAUCACAUUCCACUCAUCAGUGGGCCAUUGGUGCUUGCUGGAUAACAGCUGCUCAAGCGGGUAGGGUGAGGGUGAGGGGCAGGGGCAGGUGCUGUAAAAAGAAAACAAUAUUCUGCUGUUGUAGCCUGGUCCCUGCCUCUACAGUUGGGAGAAAUGCUAGGAAAUUGGCUCCCAGGCUGUUCAAUUUUACAGAAUAAGAAAUUUUUUAAAUAAAAAGAAAACAAAAACAAACCCUGAGAACUAUAGAAGUCUGGAACGUUUUCGAGUUUAAAAACCUUAAAGUUUAAAAAUUAAACGUUUAAAAAAACUGCUAUCAACUCUCACCACUGUUUAACAAAAGAAAGAACAAUUUUAACACCAAAAAUGAAGUAAAAAUAU